rnacentral:lncRNA from 1 species
CAUCAUUUUCCUUCAGCAAUUUUCCAUACCCCUUCAAGAAAUUAUCUCCAUGGUCAGUGUGCUGGUACUUGGACACAUUUCCACGUUGAGUCAGCACGAUGUAGUAACUUCCAUCGAUCUCAAAUUUGGGAGUGUCUGAGACGACGAGAUUGCCAUUGUCUUUGCGGCCAAGUAGUAAUCCUUGUUGGGAGAUCUUAUGCAAGUGUCCGAGUACAUUUUGAAGUAUUCUUCGAGACGAUCAAUGAUGUGGAAGCUGCAAGUUAAGACAAAAGAAAGUUGAGAGACUCGAAAACAUCAAAUUGGAAUUCUAAAGCUAGAAACUGACAUAUGAAUAUCUUGCAUGAAGUCGUUCUGAAGCUUAACCCAUGCAUUGGCCCUGUGAUCAACAACUAGUUUGUAGUUGGAAUCUUGGGGCAAAGGUUU